AAGCUCAAAAAGAUCUGCAUUAAAAGCAAGUCUUCCUACCUCACAGGGCUGCCAGCAGUCCAGAGCUGAAAUCCGAAGACAGGAUGAGACUCUGCCAGGCAGGCUGAAGUGGAAUUCUGUCUGAACCCAGGAUCCAGAUGUUUAUGCCUCAAUGCUGACCUUCAAGGCAUGGUCCCGGGUGCUAAAACCAUGCCAGGAUGGCUGACAUCUCUCCACACACACUUUGUAAUGAAGCCUCUGGGUUAUUUUCCUGGAGGUCACUUGGUUUGGCAACAAGAAAGCUACGAUGGUGGCCUAAUGGCUUUUCACUAGGACUGUCAGUGUUUUACCUCAGCCUUGUGGUCCUGGAUAAAUCCAUGGUUACUGUACCCUCAGACUUUUCCAUAUCAAUAGGAGAGCGACUUCUGCAGCAGUGGGCACUGUGUCUCCAGAAAUGCCCCUCUCCCACAUUACUAAUUUCCAGUGCCUGAACUUUGGGUUGUCUGAUCCUGGAUCAGUAGUGACUGCCACUUGUAAGCCAAGCCAAGUUCCCCUGUGCUAUGAGCCAGCAGAGGCUGAAUCCGACCUUGAUUGAUAACAGCAUAGUUGAUUUUGUUUCCAGGUGCUUUCAUUUUCAGAUGGAGCCAGACGUUGCCAGGGAGGCUGUAGUGGGAUCCAUUGCAAACCCAGGGACCAG